rnacentral:rRNA from 1 species
GACGAACGCUGGCGGCGUGCUUAACACAUGCAAGUCGAGCGGUAAGGCCCUUUCGGGGGUACACGAGCGGCGAACGGGUGAGUAACACGUGGGUGACCUGCCCUCAGCUCUGGGAUAAGCCUGGGAAACCGGGUCUAAUACUGGAUAUGACUCCAUGACGCAUGUUGUGGGGUGGAAAGCCUUGUGCGGCUGAGGAUGGGCCCGCGGCCUAUCAGCUUGUUGGUGGGGUGANGGCCUACCAAGGCGACGACGGGUAGUCGGCCUGAGAGGGCGACCGGCCACACUGGGACUGAGACACGGCCCAGACUCCUACGGGAGGCAGCAGUGGGGAAUCUUGCGCAAGUGGGCGAAAGCCUGACGCAGCGACGCCGCGUGAGGGAUGACGGCCU